UCUUUUACAAAAUUCAGCUUGUGAACCUCCUCCAUUAACUGAUACUGCACUUCACAGAUGCUUGAGGAAGACAGCUGCAAACAUAAAGCCCUUUCCGGCCUCUAAAGUCAGCUCUUGGUGGAAAGGGAUAUUCCAGAAGGGCCUCACUGCAACAUAUUUCUUAUGCAGAAUUUUGUCCAAACACAGUUGCCUAAACAUGCCUCUGGUUCAGAAGUGAAGGGGCUACCUUGAAUUUCUGCCCUAAAGUUUUCCCUAAAACACAAGAGAGGAAAAUAUCCAUUACUGACAAAUGCAGAAAGGGGGGAAAAAAAAAAAAUUAACGUGAGCCUGUUGCUGAGAUCUCCACUGAUAACACACACACAGAAGGACGUGUAGACAUCUGCUCACCAUGCAAAGUGAAUUUAGGAUUUCAUGUUGUAUUCAACGAUCCAGACCUGCUGGAUGUCCAAAACCACAGCCCUGAUAAACUCUCCCUUAAAGCUUUUCAAAAAUGUCAGGUAUCCAAGGCUGGGUGAGUAUUCUGGCAAGGUGUUGCCAGACAUUUGUUCUUUUCUGAUGUUCCUACGGCCAUUGUCAGAGGGAAGCUCCUCAGAAAGAUGGAUUUCUCGUAUAUUUAGGGCUACCAAAAGUGUCCUUACCUUAGAAAUAGCUUUACCUAUCAGCCUGGUGUGUACUGAGCAGGCCUACAGAUGCAUAAUGCACAGCAAUUGAAGAGUGCCUGGAUUUUCAGAUUUGACACUGCACUGUUGACAAGCACUGCUGAGGAGCUCAGAGCUCUCUAAGCACAUUUAUUAGACAAUGAGGUGGUAGUAAAGGGCUCUGAAUGAAUUGGCAUCCAAAUUAAGUAGCUUCAUAAACCACAAGUGUUGAAAGACAUUGCAAAACCAGUGCAGUUAGUAAUUAGAGAACCAGACAGGCUUAGAGAAAUUAAAACCGAGAGUAUUUUAUCACAUAUGUCCUGGAGAACUCUAUGCAUUCUACAGAUAUUGCUUAGUGUUCUUAAAAUUUCCACAUGUACAGUUUUAAGAUAAAUAAAAGAUAUUUAAAAGAUUAUUUUACACAUGAAAAAGACGUAGUACUUACUCUUCCUCGUACAUCUUUCUGCAAAAGAAAAGGAACAAAAAUAUAUAUUAGUUCCUCCUAAAAGGACUUAUAUAGAUCAUGGGCCAGAUUCUCAGAUACACUUCGGUGACACAGAGCAGCUGUAACUGGCCAGUUAACUUAGGUUUAUGGCUGCUGUGUGUCAGCAGAACUGCACAAAACAGCCAGAGGGUACCAAUGAAUCUGGCCCUACAUCUUUUUGAAAGGACAGCCCCAAAUGAGAAAGGAUUGUCAGGAACCUGGAUUUUGCCCAGCCUUCUCCUAACUCUGUUAGAGAAGACAGCUUGAGUCACUGUGCUAGCAACAUCAAAUCCUUAGCACAAAGAGCAAAAUUGAAUGUCAUUCCUACAUUAUUUUUGUGUGAAAAAGAAUACAUUGUAGACUUUUAGGAUAGAGAAUCAAUUAAGUUGUUCAACUUUUGAGAGGCUAUUUAUCAACCGAAACCUCUUCAGAGUAGGAUACUGUUGAUAUGCAUACAGAAAGCAGCAGAGAUGUACUGUUGUUUUUUGGAAACAUGCAAACAUGCACACAGAAUAUUUUCCUCAUGCUACAAUUAAACUUGGAGAGCUUCACCCAAAUGCAAGGGAACUAGCAUCAAAUGGGGAGGUUGGUGGCCCUGCAUGUGGCAGGGGGAUUGGAGAUUCAUGAUCCUAAGGUCUCUUCCAACCCUGGCCAUUCUGUGAUUCUCUGAUUCUGUGGAAUGACGAUGUCCCUCCACCUCCGCAUGAGACUCUUCUGGUAUUGAGUGCUGACAUCAUGUAAUCAGCCACUGCUUUCUGACCACCUGCACUUUCAUCUCCUAUCAGCAGCCAAAGGAGCAUCUGGAAGCUGGUGUUUUCAUUGCUUCAGCACCAUCAGCUCUUUGAGUACUUCUGACGUCCCUCUGCCCCCGUAAUAGUUGACCAAGAUACUUCAGACUGAAAGCACAGCAGGUAGUUGCCAGCAUCCUUUCAUUUUUACCAGCUGCAUUUCUUUGGCUAAGCUAGCAAACAACAUUCCCAUUUUGCAUAAUCACUGCUGAAACAUGGCUUUCUACAUAAUUUGGAUUUGCACGUCUCCAUGCAGACACCUACAUUUUGGGAUGGAAUUUCUCCCCUUUAGUCAACAGGAGGCGUAGGAAUCUAAGUAUGGCUAAUUAAAUCUGAUUUGUUUGUACAGAUGUGCAGAGGGCUACUUGCAAAUUCAUCUUAAUACAGAAGUUGUUUUUUACAAGGCAGAUAUUACUCAACUGAGGAACAGAAGUCUCUUGCUAGACCUCUUUUUUCUUUUUUUUUUUCUUUUUUUUUUUUCCCCCCAAUGUAAUAGUAUUCUUCCCAAGGAAAAAAGAAAAGAUGUAAGAAGUAAAGAGCUUUGAAGAAUAAUAGUCACUGGCCCCCAUAUAUUAUAUCUCGCAAUAUAAAACAGUCUGUAACUUAUUUGGUAAAAUUCAUACAUAAUUUUCUUCCUAGGACAAGUGCUCUCUCAUCAGAAGUAAAAAGUUUAGGUGACCACAACUGUGCAUUUGAGUGUGCACUUUCAAGUCUUAAUAUUUGAACUGGCUGCUAUUUCUAGCCACUGGGAGAAAAGCGCAACAUAGUAUACGUGAAAUGGCAUAUACUUUCCAUCUCCUAACACAUCUCUGCUGACUGAUCACUAGCUUGGGUAUAAUUGAAAUGUCUGUUGCUGAUGUACACUCCAUUAAUUAGUUGUGAUAGCUUUGCAUUCCUUGUGGAAGUGCGCAGCACGAGCCUUUUCUGGAGCUGGAGGGAGACCUAUGGUCUGAAGGUAUGCACUCUGCUGACAGCUCUGUGCAAGAUUUUUGAGAAAGUGAGGGAAUAAGGGAGCUCGCAAGUGAAGAGAAGCGCUCCUCAUAGAGAAGGUGAACUGGUUCUCAGGAUGUGGGAAGAAGACAUGCUGGAGGAGAGAGCCAUUUUUCUGCUGCAUCCCCAGUACGUUUCCCCCAGGGGAUGGUGCUGGAGGCAGUGGCAUGAAGGAAAUUCCACUGGUGGAACCUGACAGCUUGUUUCAACAUAGGCCAAUUUCAAAUAUCCUCAUCAUGAGGUGCUGGGCAUAGCUGCAGAUCUCUGGGGCCUUACAGUGGGGGUCCAGAAACACCAGUAUGUGUGAAUGAUUCCACUGUGUGCCAUUUUAAUCCAGGCAAUAGAAUCGCUGAAAAUGGGGCCGGUGUGUUUCCUAGGAGCUGGGCAAGGGUGUUCCCAGCAGCCCAUUAUAUGAUGCAGCAUUUCUUCUGCCAGUAUGGGGCACUGAAGCUAAGGGAAGAGAAAUCUUUCUUGUGCUAUUUUUGGCCAUCUUAGAGAGAAAGAAAUCUAAUCAUGGCCCCUGGCUUGUCAUCUUUUCAUGAAAGCAGCAUAAGCCAGAGCUUCCAGCAAGCCUCAUAAAACUCUGGAUUUACAGGGGACCUUUCAUCUGCAUCCAUUUAAAAUGUUCCCUGCCAGGCAACUGACUAUGGACGGAAAUCAUCAUUUGAAAAGAUCUUACUUUAAGGACUGUACACAGUGUCUUAAAUGCUGCUUCAGUUCUUCAUCCUUUUCAUAGGAUUCGAGCAAGGUGUGUGCAUCAUCGUGGCGAUAGCAAUAGAUUUUAUAUGUGUCUUCUAGUGGGCCUUUAAUUUGCAAAAACACUUCCCCUGUUAAAGAGAAAAACAAAGCAUGUCAACCCAGACAACAGCAUCUCAGAAGGAGUUUUAUUAUUCCACCACAUUAGCUGUGAGCUAAAAGGGCUGCUUUCCACUUUACUUCCCUUAGAAAUGAUCUUGUGUGUUUACGUGCAUUAUUUAUUACAUGUAUUUCUCAGCUGCUCAUCUUUGUCACAGCCAGGUACCAUUAUACCAGUGUUAAUGCACAAAAAUUCCCCAGAGAACAGGGACAAAAUCUCUACACCUGCACCCCUGCAUAUACAAUCCCCUACUUCACUGCCACACGGUAACACUCCUGCAGUGAGAACCAAACAGGAGAGCUCUGCUGCUAAGGAGAGACUAUGCUGGCCCUCUGGGCUGGCAGGAGAAACAAGUGUAAGGAUAUUCAUUUUCCUUUUGACUUUUUUUUUUCAGCUGGAUAUGAACUUAAAUGGGUUAUAACAGGAAUAAUGACUCCAUCUCCCAUUAGCCAUUUCAUGUUUAUCUGUUUUGCAGCAUCCUGAAAUGGCAGUUGUUAAGGCCUAGAAUGGGGAAUCUUCCUCACAUGACAGAGGAAUAAUCUUCACCUUUUCCUCUAAUGAAUUAAAACCACUGUGGAUUGCAGGCAUUUCUGUACAGAAUGAAAGGGAAAAAUAUUUACAGUUCUGAUCCUUUGUUGCAUUGUUUUUCCUGAAAAACAGUUGGGAAUUUUAGAGGCAUUGAGUUAGUCCUGCACCCAUUUCCCAUCUAAGUUUGGUGCACAUUUCUCUCAGCUGGUAACUCCUAUGCUGCUUUCUGUGUAUUAUCCAGGCAGAGAAAGCAUGCUUCAUCUCUUCUGCUGAGAUAUUCAUUAGUUCUCACACCCUAAUAUAGCAGCAUCCUGAUCAGCAUCCUUGGAAAUGCACAUAAUAAACAAUAGCAAUGGUGAAAAUUACUGUCUCAGGCAUUUAUAGAAAAAUUACAUCUACGUGGCAACCAGUCAGAUGUUUUAUAAACACUCUUGUUGAGUUAUAGCCAUGAUUAUUAAAGUUAAAAGCUGAGCACCACGUUAAUUGGGAGCUCUAUUCAUUCACAGAGUGAGCACAAAGCUGUCAGGCAUCCUGCCGCUUUCAUCCUGACCGAAGUCGGCUGUUUCAUAAUACAUUGCAUUGAACUGCUCUGUCUUAGAGUGAAAAAUGAUUCAGUUACCACAGUAACACAGCUCUGGGUUUCUUCCCUAGCAGAGAAGGUUAACUGGGCUGUCUAAUGCAUGUUGGUUUCAAGGUGCGAACAAGGGAACAACAGCAACCGAGUUAAGAACACAGAAGUUUCGUUUUAGUUACUGUAAGGGCCACAGUCAGAAAAGCACCUGCAUCCUAAAGCUGCAUCCUCUUUGGGUGCUGUCAUCUCUGUUUUCUCUGUCUUUUGCUAAAUGUAGUGCAGAUAGCUAACAACACACAACUGCAUUCUGACUUCCCUGUAAACUCUAUACAGGGCCUUAUUCAGCCAACAAGCAUAACAAGCUUUCUCCUGAUCCCGUGCCCUUGGCAGAGAUGCUGAACUCUCACACUUAACUUUAAGCAGAGUGCUUAGCACAGCCCAUAGUACAUGGAGCUCUUAAGAGAGAUAAUGUUUUCUGCAGCAAAAAAAUGCAAACUAUACACUUAGCUUCCCUUCAGCAUAUACUGGAGCCUGGAAAUAGUCAUUCUCUCCUCCAGAAUGGAAAAGAUGAGAAUUCGUUGGUGUAUUGUGCCAUAAUGAUAGAUACUUUCAUUUAUGAUAAAAUAAUGAGAAAAAUGAUGCGCUUAUUUCACAGAUGGGAUCUUUUAAAAGCAGUUGGGGUCCUUAAGCCUGAAUUUCUUCUUGGUUCUGGGAUGUAUAAGUCGAGUCAGUUGAGCUCUGAGCAUAUCACUGAGAUAACUUGCUUUAUGGAGCAAAAAUGCAUCAUAUUUGUCACAGGUUUAUAAAUAAUGAGUAUUUUGAGCAUUCUGACAGAUCAACAUCUGCCUGAUCUGCCUCUUCUUGAGUGUAGUGGUCAGACAGUCUCGAAGAGGCAAUCUUGGGAGGAAGGCUUCAGUGGCAGCAACACUUUCUCCUUACAGCUUUCAGUGAUGCUUCCUGUGUGAACAGCAGUGGGAGAGGGAGGAAGAAAGGGCCCAAUAUUUAAAGGCAGAGUAAAAUUACUAAGUCUUCAUAUUCCUCUAUGUACAGCAACCAGAUCACAGAGGAGAAAAAACACAAGGGAGAACUAGAAAGAUCAUUUGUCUUCUACUGCUUUUAGCUUCAGAAGACCAACCACCAAAGCUACAUUAGCAUUUUAGCACAGAUUAGGAGGGGGCUUUUAAAGCCAGUCUCUCACUGUGCCUCAUCUCCCAUGACUUGGCUGUGUGGAGAAACAGUUAACAGACACAUAGACUAGAUCCUUUUGAGUGGUAAUUACCAGAAGAUAUACUCUUAGGGCACAGCAUGAAGUGUACCUCUCAAUCUACAGGAAUAGGCUAAAGUUAAUCUGAAAUAAGACAUCUUGAAAUCUGUAUAUACCAGGACCUCAGUACCAACUGUUCUGUUAUACGAGUCUGAAUCUACGGGCACUACAACUUGUCAAUGUAAGUAUAGCCCAAGAUGUGGAGACUAAAAUUAGGCAUCAAUACAAGUAACUACAUAAUUUUGGUUUCUAAUUCGUGAAACAGCAGUUCUCCUCAGCCUCACUAUAUGGAACUGCUGAAUCACAGCCUGAACCUCUGAUUGAUCACCUGAGGCGAGCAGUGAGUCAGCCAUGGGAGCACAGGUGAAGGCAAUUCACCUGUGCUGCCAGAAGGGAUGGAGCCUGGCUGCACCCCUCCUAGACCUAUUUAAGAGCUGGCUGCCAGUGGGAAAGGAUCUGUUCUGGAGGUCUGCUCUGCUGGAGUUUUGUAAGUGAGCCCAGAAUACAGAGGAGCAAGCACCAUGAUCAAGCCUGACAUGAGCUCAGCAGAGCCACUGGACAGGUUUCACAUCUCCUUUUUCCUUUAUUACUGUGGACAGCUUGUAGCACAUUACUCUCUGAGAGUGGUGCCGGUUUAGUGUGAUGAAGAUAUAGGACAGGAAAAUGUUAUGUUUAUUCUUUCACGUGGCUUUGUAGAACUCAAGAGGACAGUAAACAUACCGAUUACUUGCAUGGGUGGUUCCACAUCUGUUGUGGCUUCUUCCAGCAGUGACAGCAGCUUGGCUGAUAUCUGAUGGACCGAUUCGAUGUUGCUAAACAAGCCAUCCACAUCAAAGCGGGCGAUCUAGUGGAAUACAAAUAUUAAGCAGCUUCUGAGGAACGAUAAAGAAGGACAUUGUAUUUUAAUUGUAUUUUACAGACCUUCUCUUAAUAAGGCUUUCGUAUUCAGCAUUCCAGGAAGCAUAAUUACUGCAAAAUGUAAUAUAAACAUCCUCCUCGUGACUUUUGGGAUGCAUACAGUUUUCAGAUCAGUAGAAUUGGGUUGACACAGUUAACAAAGGGCGUUUUAUCAAGUGAUUUUAAUGCUAUUUUGAACUACUGGUUCCUAAUCUGAAAGUGUUUAUGUAGGAAGGAAAUUAUAUUAUCAUUUGAAUGAAGAAAAGUUAUUUAUCUGGCUUUAAAAUGUUGAUUUUCCCAUUGAGAAGAAGAAUAGUUGGCAGGGGAUUUGAUUCCUUGUUUUCCAGUUGUUCGUGGAAGCUGCUAUGUGAACUGGGACCUUGGUGCUUUAGUGCCAGCCAUGAGGAAAGUGAUGCUUGCUUCCAGCUGAAGGAGUACCGAGGAGAGUUUGAUCAAGGUGUGUCUAGACUCAUCCCAGCUGAGCUCUAGGUGGCUGCAUGGCUGUCUCACCAACCUGCCCUUUGAAAGCAACACCUUGCUUCCCCUUAUCUGAAAUGGAGCUGGUGACAAUUGGUUAUCUCACAGGAUGAGCUGAAAUGGGUGCAUUCAGAUGUCUUCUGGUCAAGAAGAGGAGAAAGACCCCCGCUGCAGACACAUUGCACAGGAACACACCAGAACCUCCAUACCGACCUCAAUUGUAUUUCACGCGCUGGGUGCAAGAUUGGAUUUAGAAAACGUGAGUGGUGAGCAGUGGCAAUCGCUCAGUCCUGCAGUACAGGUGCCUGGGUAGAGCCCGCCGUGCCCAUCUCCAGAGCCAGACAGCACUCCACAGGCACCAUGCUCCCACCCAGCACGGACAACGCAGCACCCAGCACGCUUCCCGGCCAUGAAAGAAAAAGGAAAGACUCCAUUUCUGAUUCGUGAUGGAGAAGUUGCUCUAGAGUAACAAAGGGCAUUUUCACCAGCAAAACAUACACAUAAUGCAUAUAUAUGAAAAAAAGUAAACGUACAGUGCCAAGUACAAACUGUUAAAGGAAGGAUGUCCUUCAGGCUUAGGUGAUUAUACUGCUGCUGAGUUUUUGCUAUACACCAGUGGUACUCUUGUGGAAUGAGAUUCACCCCUGUGCAGAGGGCAAGCAUAAAACCUAAGUACCAUGUAAACCCUACUUAAGUCUUAUGGACCUGCUUCUAACUCCGUUGAAAUAAAUAGCAAUAUUUUCAUCAACUUUCAGUGGGACCUGUUUCAAGGUCAAUGAAUGGGAUCAGUCCUACACAAACCUUUUGCUGGCCCAAUAUAUUAAGGAUUUGGAUGUAAAAUGCUUGGGAACAAAAAGAAGUGAAAAAAAAAACAAAAACCUUGCCUGUAAAAGCUUUAGUAAUUUUAGAGAAUUUGCAUCAUCUAAAUAUGAGAAUCAAAACAUGAAUUUGUUCCAAAGAUUCAAUAAUAUUAAGUAUGGAAGCUGCAGUAUCGCCUAAAUCUGACUUUAGGAAUACUGUGCAUACUUCUGUCAUGUUUUGUGUCAUAGUACUGAGAAACACUGUCAAAUCUAUUUCAGGCUUUAUCACCAUUAUUUCUGUAGUUUUAGAAGAAUUUUUGAUACACUGGAGUAUUAAAACAGUAAGGCCUCUGCUCUGGCAGUGUUAACAGGUCUUGCAUGUGUUUUUCUACCGUAUCAUUCACCAUUGCAGAGUAACAGGAUGGCAUCUUUUUAUUCACCUAAAAAGAGCCGGAAUAGAAAGUCAUUUAUAUCUCAUAAAUUCCAAGCGUUCAGAUGAGACCUCACACGGCAAAGGAGAACUCUGCACUCAGAAUUCAUGCAUCUUACAGCAACUCUUGACCACAGCUGUGUAUUUUACUUCCUAGCCUGUAUGGAGAGAUAAAUACGUUGGGUUCCUCCUAGAACAAUACUAAACCCAACUGCCAACGUUGUAAAUGUAAAAAUACUGCAUGUGCACUCAGUAAACAAUUUUUCAAAGGCUCUGAACUUCCAUAAACAAACCCCACAUUUGCCAGACCCAAGCAGGGGAGUGGGCACAUGGCAUAUGUCUGUUUUUUAUGUUGUCUGUUUGAGCAGCAGGCCAACUCAAAGAAAAUGCAGAACAGAUAUAUUUUUUUUUAUGAUAGAUUCUCUACUGUUGUGUUUUGUUUUGUUUUGUUUUUUUCCCCACAUGAAAAACGGAUGACUCACCUCCUUACAAACUCAAAACACAAAGAACUUCAAGCAGAUACCUUACAUGAUGAAUUUCAAACCCCAAGUGUCCAAGACAGAAGGUUACCCUGGAAAACCUGGCA